rnacentral:misc_RNA from 1 species
AGCAGAUGCUGCUGGGCUUUUAUUGGAUAAGAGGGAGGAUUUUGUUUCAGUUGAUUGCUAAGUGGCUAAGUAUGACACCUGCAGACAAUUGCCCUCUGCAUGCAUCUAGAGAGAUGAUCUUACAUAUAUACAGCCUCAGGUAUCCAGCAGCUGAAGCAAUGUUGUUCAGAAACAAAAGGCCGAAACUCCAAUUCCAACGAUCUGAAACCGAAUCAGAAAAAAAAAA